UGAGCAUGGGAUAUUUGCUGUGUCAUGGGAACAGACAUGUUGACAGACGGGACUGAGGGGUUGUUGAAUAAAUGUGGACGGGAGUCAAGGAGGAAGCAUGGAGAGCGUAUAGGAAUAGGGAACAGGUGAAAAAGAAAAAGCUGGGUCGUUUUAUAGCCACGGCUGCAGUGGUUGCUUUGAAACUGGUGGAGGAGGAAUGUCAGGCGGAGGUGGGGGAGUGGACUCUUCUGUGGGACUGGAUCGCUGUGCGUGCUAUGGAGAGUUUGGACGCUGGAAGUGAGACUGCCCUGGGGGGGAAAGUGCCAUGAGCUGGCUCCGGUGACUGAAUUGGAACUGGACUGAGAGGGACCUGGGGAAUCUACCCUAGCAGAUCCACUGGUUAAAUUAAAACUAGGGACUAGAGGAAAUAAAGUGGAAUUUUAGUGGAUACAGGAGCAACUUAUUCGGUCUUAAAUCAGAGAGAAAAGAAAUUGUUACAGAUGUGGGAGCUACUGGCCACCAAGAAAAAAGAGAAAAGAAAGAAGAGGCAUUCUUUCUGAAACCUUUAAAGUACAAAUUGGGAAAACAAAUAUGAAUGCAUAAAUUUUUAUGCAUGCCAAAUUCUCUGAAAACUUUAUUAGGGUGAGAAGCAACAUUUAAGAAAGCAAAAUGGAAUUUAGAGUUAAAAACAAUCAAUUAAUUGCAGUUUUGAGUUUAUCUUUAAUUUAGCAGAAAAGCAAACAGGAGGACCUCCCUGAAAUAGAAGAAAAUCUUAAUCAGGUAUAUCUGGGAGUAUGGGCAUCUGAAGUUCCAGAGAUCCUCUACAGGAGAAGUGGAGUGGACCGUACCGGAUGUUAUUGACCACCUUUACAGCAGUGAAGAUAAAGGAACAACCUGCUUGGAUACAUUAUUCAAGAACAAAGGAAGCACCAGAGCCAGAGAAGACAUGGCAAAUCGAACCUUCAGGACACUUACAUAUGAAAUUGCAUCGGUCAUAAUUUGGACUCACAUGAUAACUGGUGCACAAGCUUGGGACCAGAAUUUAUACCUGAAAUUAGUGCAGAAUGUUACUAAGGUUUUAAUCGUAGUGACUGUUGGGUGUGUGCACAAUUGCCUACAUCAGGAGAAAAUCCAGACCUUCCAUUAAUUGGAGUUCCAGUUCCUAACACUAUCUCAUGGACAAAUUUGUGGGUGAACACUAGCAAUCUGCAUCCAAGGGAAAGGCUAAAAUUUGGAAUAGUUAAUCCUAAUCCAGGUAAUAAAUAUUAUACCUGUGCACAAAGAUGUAUUACAUCAGGAACCAGAGUAUGAGAGUAUGUUAGUUUAAAUGCCCCA